UAGGGAAUCUUCCACAAUGGACGCAAGUCUGAUGGAGCAACGCCGCGUGAGUGAAGAGGGCUUUCGGGUCGUAAAACUCUGUUAUUGAAGAAGAGCGUGUGUGACAGUAACUGGUCAUGCAGUGACGGUAUUCAAUCAGAAAGUCACGGCUAACUACGUGCCAGCAGCCGCGGUAAUACGUAGGUGGCAAGCGUUGUCCGGAUUUAUUGGGCGUAAAGCGAGUGCAGGCGGUCUUUUAAGUCUGAUGUGAAAGCCUUCGGCUUAACCGAAGAAGGGCAUCGGAAACUGGGAGACUUGAGUGCAGAAGAGGAGAGU
rnacentral:rRNA from 1 species